UCCUGUUUCAUGCACAAAUCGUAUGAAGACAAGUCAUAUCAGCGUAUAUGAUAGAAGUGUAAUCAAGAAUCCAUAACUUCUUUCAUUUUUUUGGCCCUUCAUUAAUAUAGAGCUUACUACCUCAUGCACAAUUAAUAGGUUCUACAGAAAAAGGAAAUGAUUGAUUCUUCAAUCCAGAACGUCACAUGGUAUUUGGAUGGCCCGUAUAAAACUCAAACUUCGGCAUAAAAUAGGAACCAUGAGAUCUAAUGUUUCAACAUCAAAAAGGGAGUUCACAUCUGGUUCACGAUGAAAAUCAAGGAGAACUGAAUUCACCAACAGUUAAGCAUUCAUUAUAAAUAUCAAAUGGGAUUAAAUGAGUCAGCAGCCUUCACAUGUAUCAGAGCAUCUCCAAGGGGGAGAUGUAAUUUGGGAUGUAAUUACAUCUCAAAUCUUCGGAGAAUCUCACUCCAGUUAGUUGGAUGCAGUUAUGAAAUGUAAAUUUAGGAAUUUAAUCUCAACGGUUUAGUGUUGAAGCAAGAAAGUAAUUACUGCACUUCAUCUUCCCACUUUCUUCACGUGGUUCACUCAUUCUCGCACUUGUUUUGGGCCCGCCAAAGCACGAAGCAAAACAGAUACAAAUUUGUGGCUAUACAUACGCUUGUCGGCUAGUUGUUGGUUUUACAACCCAAAUACAACUUCCACUGGAACAUGAGAUCUAAAUGUGCCUAUACAUCUCCAUUUAGUACUGGAGAUGCUCCCUCACUUUGUCAAAUAAUACAAGAAACCACAAACAUACAGAACACAACGACUGGUAAAGCUAUUAGCCUAUUAGCCAAUCGCCCCAUAGUCAUGUAUCAUCGGUUUCCAUUCACUUGCUUCCAUAUUUGUGCAUUAUGCGCAUGACACGUGCAUCGAGGAGAUCUAUUAACUUGCCUAUUAUUACUGAAUAUGCUAUGCUAUGUCAUUUUGUUUUUUUUUCUAUACGUAGAGCUAUAUCAUAUAUAUCACGUAAACCAUGUAUUUUAAGCUUAGAUGAGAGCUAAUUUUUUUAAUUUAUCUCAUGUCACAUGAUCAGAGGAAAGAUUAUAUGAAGCUACCACUAUCUAGACAAUAAACUAAAGCUUGCAUACAAUCCUUAUGGAGGUAUACCUGAUCUGUCACCGCAUAUAAGAUUGCUCUUAUGCAUGCCCGAAAGCAGCAGACUGCAAUUCCAACGAGACAAGAAGCAGAAACGCAUACAAUGAUGAAGGCAACAUCAAAGACCAGAAAUGAAACACAGAGCCAGCAAAAAAAGAGCUGCUUGUAAAUAGUUAAAACACGUGCAAUCACGCACGCACACAUUCAAGACAAUGACUCAAAAGAAACCACUUCAGAGUAAAAAUAGUUCAAUCCUAACCAGUAAAGGCGAGGUGAACUAGAUAGCAAAGUCUGGCCACCAUUAAGUACCCAGUAGAAGCCAAUGACCCACCAAAUAAAUGAAAACAUGCUAUUGGCAGACUCCAGAUUCUUGGUGAUACUGUUGCACAAAAAAUGGAGAUAGUUAAAUAUACUUCAUGGCAUACGGCCACACAAGAUUAGCUUUAUGCGGAGAAUAUCACAUUCACAACAAAUGCCAACCAUUACUCACAAAAAAAAAAUGAAAGGGGACUGAAUUCAGAUAUGAGAUAAAGGACAUCAUAGAACGCACACACUGCUCAAUUGUACAUAUCUAUAUAAAAUGAAAAUAAUUGUAAUAAGAAAGAACAGCUAAGGGCUUGCCGAAUGUGGAACUAUAUACGAACAGCAUAACAACUCCACAAUUCUUGGUUUACCAGAACGCUAACUCCUGAGCAAUUGUUGACCAGAACGCUGCUUACCAGGGUGUUGAGAAUUAUACCUUGCCGAUGAUGGCGUCGUCAUGAGGCGUACAGAUGUCUUCCAAAUCACCAUAUUAUACAUCAGGAAGUUGGAAUCGAUUGCCAGUGGUUUAUUGAUGGCAGCCACCAUUCUUGGUUUCUUGUAAGCGAACCUUCUUUCUUUUCGGGUGUUUCCCAGAUAUUCCUGCUCGCCGUGUGUACAGCUUACCUCAAUGGAUGCUUCUGCCCCCGAACAUUGAAAAAGGGGGAGACCCCGUAGCCUUCGGAAUUUUAUGGGAUGCCCCUUGGGGACAGGGCGUUGAGAUGAUUCUUCUGACAUUAAAUCGAUUACCUCCGUCUUCUGGGCAGCUAAUUCUUUGAAGCAAGUAACAGUUUCCUUGACAUUUUUGACAUGUGCCUUUACGUCGGCGAGUCUAGCAGGUUCUCUAGCCAGAGGGCUUUGUCAGACGCCUUCUAGAGACAAACAAAUUUCCAUGACGUCUUUCCACAUCUCAUCAAAGGCGGCGACGCCAUCGUACCGCUCAUGGGUAUUGCUCUGAGAGGCAGCGAAGCCGAUAUGAUUGACUGAGUUUUCUGACAUGUCAAUCGGCAAAGUGAUCUGACCGAGAGGAAUAUGAGUUCACUCUCAAUGAACGCAUCAAUUGUUGGAAUUGAAUUUGCGCACCUCCGUGAGUGGUGGUAAAGUCAAGCUUAAGACCAAGGGAUGCACCGGCGAAAGGCUCUACGGAGGUCAAGUUAGUGAAUGAUUUUAAACUCAAGCAGUGGGCAAGAGAAUUCAAGUGUUUAGGUUACGUGACCAUAGAUGAACCCUAGAUGGGUGUAUUUAUACCGUAGGGAGAAAGAUCUUUUUACGAUAGAAUCCUCACUCUAAGCUAGAAGAAUCCUAAAGGAUAUCUAGAUGUAGAUAUUACACCCCCUUACGAGUUGUGAUUAUUUGUGGCGCACAAGGAUGGUUAGUGUCUAUUCUGCAUGACUCUGGAACGUUAUAGCUAAGGAGCGUCAAUUCCUACAUUGUAAAAAGUCCAAGACUUAUAGGAUCUGAUUGUGUCCAUAUCCAAAUUAGAUCGCAUGUCUUGCAAACCAAGCAUGGUCAUUUAGCGGAGUCGCUAGGACUCUACCUAGUGUCCCAGAGUAGAGUGAUGGUGGCACCACUACUCUAUUUGAUACAGCUCUGCUCGAAGCUGGUGAAUCCAUGACUGGACUUCUGAAAUGAUUGUAUGCAGAUCAGACUUACUCCGGCCCCAAAAAAUCAUAGUUCCACACACGUGAUAAGUCAAGUGGUGAAGAGAGAUGUGUGAAUGUGUGUAUCUAUCAUAUGGACGCUACAACGUCACUGUAUUCAUACUAUACAUAUGUUAUAUUUAUGUAGAAGAACUUAUCCACACGAGGAUAAGAAAGAUAGAAUAAUAAUUACAUGUAUUGCGACAACACUUUCAUGUGUAACAACCGUACCAAAAAAUUUCUCCACGUGAUUAUUGAAAAAUAAGAAGUAGAGAUAAUCCAUAUUUUUAGAAAGUUUUAACUCCACAAUAAAUUAUAGGAAAAUUGACAAAAAUGACCCAUUUUCUUAAUCCUAGGAUCAAAAUCAGAUUUUACGGAAAUGCACAGAGUAUGCACACGGCAUGCUCAACAAUAUGAUAGAAAUAAGAUUUUUCCUACACCUUAAAAUAACCUAGUUACCCUCGUAUAUAAAUAGAUUGUUUCCUCUAACCCAAUCACCGUUUGCACAUUUCUCCGAAAAUCUCUCUUCCCAAAACCCACACCUCUGCACAAACCCUAGUCACCUCUCUCUCUUGAAAUGGGAUCCAUUCAUAAUCCAUUGCCUCUGCUAUUUUCUGGAAAAUCCCUUCACUCAUGAGCUCUUCUUAUCCCUUCAAUUUGGUAAUCAUACUAUGGAUGGGCAUUAUGCCCCUCCCUCCCCUCACUCCUCUUAUCCCUUCAUGGUGUGCACGACUUGUGCAUGGUUACAUGACUUAUGCGUGACUGAUUUGUCUUAUCUUAAUCCAAAGAUUCAGAAAAUUGCUCAUUUUUGUCUAUUUCCUUAAAUUGUAAGAACUAAUUGCUUGAAAGUUUCUCUCACUAUGAAUCCUAUUACAUGGAAGUUUCUCUAAGAAAAGUGAAACUCAAUUAAAGGCCCAAGAGUCAACUUGGAAACCCCUGACUAGGAAAGUAAAUUACACUUCUCCCACGCAUUUUCCCAUCCAUUCCAAAUUCGGCACGUAUUGUAUUUCAUCAUCCAAUUUGGAUUCCACAGAAACCAGGUGGGUGUUUUUUUUUUUUUUUUUGGUUGGUUGAAAGAACGGUUCAUAAAACCAGCAAGGCACAAGGCCAAACAACAAGCAGAGGGUUGUCCAACACACCCAAAUAACAGAAGCAUAGAUAAACAAGACACAAAUAGACGCCACCACACAGGUCACCAACAUCAUCCUAAUUACCCGAGACAAAAAAAAACUUCCCCCUACAAAGGAAGACAUGGAAGAUCGUCUUUGUUCAAAAUACCCACAAGCAAAGAUGGAGGUGUCACAACCCAGCCUAAGCCGCACAUCUCCGAAGAAAUAUUCCUCAUAACAAAAUCCGCCGACAUAUUUGCUGUUCAUGGAGUCCACGACCAGGAGCAUGAUUGAAAGCUCUUCCCAACCUCCAAAGCAUGGGAAAGGAUUAAGAGCAGGUCCCAAUCACAACUCAGAGAAUGGGAAUUAAGGUACUGAAUAAUAGCCUAUGCAUCUUAUUCAAGUACCACAUCCUGCAUAUGUAAAUUUUUCGCCAGUAAGCAACCUUCCAGAAUAGUUAGAGCCUCCACCAUCGCAGCCGAAAAAGCAUGCACCCUCACACAUUUCACCACUUUGUAGCCCGAGACCCAGUCUCUGGCAACAACCGCGAUAUAACCACAUAAAAAGUCUCACUUCCAACAAGCAUUAACAUUAAGCUUAAUCCAAUUGAUAGGGGGAGGAGACCAUAGAGAUGGUCGAUGCAUACCUUUAGAAUGACUGGUACUGUCAAAGGCCAACAAGCUCCGAGGGGUGGAAGCCUCUUGAAAGGAAACUAGGGCAGUGGCAAUAGCCAGCAAAGUUAUGAAAGAAUAAUGAUUGAGCUCAUUAAAAAUAGCAUCGCAAUAUGCCCUCCAAAUGAACCAACACGAAAAGACUACGUGCGACAAAAUAUGAUCUAAAUUCUCCUUACAUUCCAAAUAUUGAUUGACAACCAAGCACAACCACUCAGCCAAAGUUGUGCAAGAGCUUCGAUUAGAGGACCCCCAGACCACACCCUGAAAGCCCAUGGGCACAAAAGGAGCACAUGCUUCAUGGUUUCUUCACUUUCAGCACAAAUGGGACAAAGGGGGGACAAGUCACACCAAUGACAGAAAAGAUUAAACUCGGUGGCGCAAGCAUUACGGAAAGCCUUCCAUACGAAGUUCGUCAUUUUUGGGGGGCUUUACAACUCCAAGUCCAAGCCCACACCCGAGAAUCAAUACUGUGGGAAGAAGAAUGGCGAUCAUGAUUCAUAAGGGGUAGGCAGUUAUGACACCACUUAUAACCAGACUUACAAAAUAAGAACCAUUCAUUUCAAAAAGCCAGACAAGUUUAUCCGGUUUCAUAAGUGGCCCCAUGUUAAUUUGAGAGAUAGCCUCACGCUCAGAUUCUGGGACAAAAUUCGAUAGCAGAUCUAAAUUCCACUCCCUCAAGACCGGAUCAAUAAACUCUGCAACCUUACAUUCAUGUUAACAUCCGCGAGCAUGGGAGGGGUGGGUUGCCCUGCUGGUAUGUCUGAGACCCAAUUGUCCAUCCAAAAUCUAACCUCUUGUCCUCCCAUAAUCUGCCAUCUGGCACCAUUUAAGAUGAGAUCCCUUCCUUCUAAAAGACUCACCCACGCCCAAAAGGCCCUACCACCUUUUUUAGCAUCCAGGAAAGAAACAUUUGGAAAAUACCUCACCUUUAAAACCCACGCCCAUAGAGAAUCAGGAUCAUGAAUCAAACGCCAACAUUGUUUGGCUAGCAAGGCAAGGUUAAAGUCUUUAAGAUUACGGAACCCCAUACCUCCCUCCCUCUUCGGCAACCCCAUGUCCUUCCAAUUGAUCCAGUGUCACCCAUGAUCCUUAUCAGCCCCCGCCCACCAAAACCUCACCACUGCCGCAUCAAUAUCCUUGCACAAACCAUCCGGGAGUCGAAUAACACACAUUGGGUACAUAGGAAUUGUCUCUCUCAUUUCUCACACCCUUCCCUCAACAUUCUUAUAUAACCUCCUACCCGCACCUCUUUCAUCCCUAACACAAGCAGUUCAUCAAACACGCGUACUUUUCAUCCAACAUGGCAACCAAUUCCUAGACGCUCGAAAUCAAGGUGAUCUCCGCCAAGAACCUACAAUUAGAUCGAAAACCCAUCAAGAAAAAAGCCUCCGUGACAGUUCGGGCCGACACCAACAGCCAGUUUCGCACCACGGACAUGGACACUAAAGGCGGCGCCUACCCACGGUGGAAUGAAAAGCUCGUGCUCGACUUGCCAAAGCACUCGAAGUCCAUCACAGUGGAGGUCCAAUGCAAGACUUUGUCCAGCAUCAGGACGAUCGGGACGGCGAUCAUUCCGGCGACAGAUUUUGUUGGCGGGUACGUGCCGGAGGGUUACCUGCAUUUGUUGAGUUACAGGCUGAGAGAUCACAAUGGGGAGAGGAAUGGGAUUAUUAAUAUUUCUGUGAGUAUGAAGGCUCAAAAGAUGUACGUUUAUGCAAGUUCAACGGGGUCUCACUCAACCAAGGGCGGAUCUAUUAAAGGACCAGGGUGGUCCCAGGACCACCCAAAAGCUUGGAUAAAUGAUUAUGAGGAUCUUCAAGGACCACCCAAAUUUGGGCAGUAGUGGAGAAGAACAGCAGCCAUGGCUGCUGCAUGUUGUGCAAAAUAGAAGGAGAAGAAUAAAGCUAAUUUUUUUUUUUUUAAAUAACUUGGCCGAAACGACGUUUUUUUGAGCCAAGUUAUUAAAAAAAUUUAAAAACUCCUCACCUUCACGUGAUAGAGCCUGACUAGUCACCAUCUUUUAUUCUUUAUAGAAGUCAGACUCACCAAUCACCAUCUUUUCUAGAAUAGUGGUUUCAGUCAACUUUAAUUUACCAAUAAUACCAAAUUAUUUGUAAGUUUUCAAACGUAAGGAGGAAUCCUCACUCAUGCAACCACGGUACCCAGGUAACCUCAACUUUUUUAUUUGCUUUGUUUUCAAUAUCUUGGUAUUCAAAUCGUGAUUUUGUCGAUGAUUUUAUUCAGACGCAGACCAUUUCACAGAAUGAACAUUCGUGCCCUCCAUAGCAAUUUCUGCUCUCUGCUCCCCGUUCAACUUCCGUCUUUGCUCCCACAUUUCUUUAAGUUUUCUAAUUUGGUGUUAGUUCUUACUUAUUUUUAGUGUUAGUUGAUACAAAAUUAUUGUUAGGAUUAGGUUUUUUUUUUCUUUAAAGAACACUAAUUAAAACAAAGGGGCCGAACAAUGAAUCUUGCAAAUGAUAUUUUCAUAUUUAUUUUAGUGUUAGUUCAUACAUAUUUAGUGUUCAUUCGCUAGGAUUUUCUGAUGUUACUUGGAUUGUGUUAUAGGUUUUUUUUUUUUUUUUUUUGUUGAAGAUUGUGUUACAAACUUACAGUCAGGGGUUUUUAGUUCAUACAUAUUUGUUUACAUUGAGAAAGAUAUCUUAGUUGUUUACGUUGAGAAAGAUGUUUUUUUUUCUUGUAUUGACAAUGAAACUAUCAUGACACGUUUUCAAAGUAUAAUAUUCGUUGUGGACAAAUUUAGUAUUUCUAGCUUGUUUAGCACAAAGAUUAUGAAUGAAAAUUGUAGUUUGCCAUUUAUUUGUUCAAUGAUGUUUUCGUCUUUUUUUUUUUUUUUUUGAGCUUUUAUAUUGGGACCACCCUAAGUUAAAAUCCUGGAUCAUCCACUGCACUCGACAAUGGAGUUUCCGGCUGCUGGGAACAAAAGUUUUGGUAGCAGCGUUGUGACCGGAGUUCCGAUUUGGUAUGGUGUCUAUCAGAAAAAUUAUUGAAGACCCAAGUCACACUAUUUUGUGCAUAAAUAUUAGAAGGUUUAGGCUUUUGGUUAAGGAGAAUGCAAACUCAACGUGUUUUGUGUUCUUGUAGGAAAUUUGAUGCAACCAUUCAAUUCAUUGUUACAAUACAUGAUUGUUUUUAUUUUGAUUAAAAGAAAAUUUCUCAAUAUAUUAUUGUGAUUGUAAUUCUAUAUUAUCCAUUCUUGGAUGCUUGAUCUGGUAAACGAAAACGAGGAAUUAGAUUGAUCUCAUAUACCGGUUCUUUCUCUCUUAUUAUAUAAUACUAAACCAAUUUACGCAGAAGAAGAUACGGAAACGUUAAUGUGAUAUUUGAAACAGAUGACAGCGGCAGCGGUCGAGUAACGCACACCACUCGACCACCUUUGACUUGAUUAAUUAGUGAUUGGGAGAAACAUGUUACUGAAAAACCUAACACUAAGCCAAUCUACCACUUUCUAGUUUAUUCUACCACAACCUAACAAAAUUACCCAAAUGAACCAUUGCGUUGCAUUGCCUUGUGACAAAUUCAAAAAUCAAUACUCAUAAAUUUUUAAUUAAUGAACCAAAGCUCUAAGGGGGUGUUUGUUUGCCUUCCUUAGCUCUCACUGGACUGAAUUGGAUAAAAGAUUAGUGUAAUCCAUAUUUGUUCACUUGAGGGAGUAAUUUAGUGGUACUAAGGAGGACUGGCCUCGACUAACAAUGUUGCUAGCAUGUCCUAGCAUGCGCCCCCCCCCCCCAAACAAAAAAAAACCCAAACUAUGGGACUAGCUAAGACGCCUCUCUUUGUUCUCGCAUCCUCUCCACUGCUCUCAUUCUCUCACUGUUGCCCAUGUCCUCUCCCUCACUCCUCACCCCGAACCCAAAAUCACGUCCUCUCCCUCUCUCCUCUUCCUACUCAAUGUCGACGCCAAUCUGUGUGACCCAGACUUGAGGAGAGAUUCUUGACUGGUCGGUCCUGGUUCGCGACCCAGACUCAAAUCGGGACCAGAAUCAGAGUGUCGUCGUAGGGUAUACAAGGAAUCCAACUGCGAGUUCGAUUUCGAUCUUGAUUGAAUUUUUUAUUGUCUGUGUUUUGGGAGCUUUCUCGAAUCAAAUGGAGGAGAAAGCUACGGUUGGAAGUUGAGGAAUUUGGACAGAGAGCUUUAUCAAUUGAAAUGAAGGAGAAAGCUCUGGUUGGAAGCUAUGAAAUUUGGACUCAAAAAAGGGAGAGGAAAGAGAGAGGUUUCCAAGGAGUGUUCUAGGACAGGAAAAAGUAGAAAAAUGAAAGGAAAAAAAAAGAAUUAAUUUUUAUUCUUUUUAUUAUCUUGCUUCUUAGUCCGAUACUCUACCAAACACUCUAUUAAGUUAAUCCAAUUUAAUCUAUUCUAAGUCAGUCCAAUUUAGUCCCUCAAACUAAUAGAGUCCAAAAUAGUAUAGUAUAACAAACGCACCUUAAUUUCACUAAAACUUAUGGACCAGUUCAAUUUGGUUUUAAAAAUGAAAAUGUCUAGUUUACCCUAAAUCUUCUUUCUGAAUGCCGAAUACUUCAUGAAAUAUAAUCCCCCACACAUUAAUUAAGCAUAGUAACCAUCUAUUAUAUUUUCUUAUUUAGCAUUACAAGUUAGUUUACACUAACUUUACAUAAUAUAUCGAUUUUGGUUUCCCUAAUAUCGACAUAUUUGAUUCCGUUCCCGUUCACACUUGUCCGAUUUCAUGUCGGCCACGAGGCCUUAAAAUGUUGAACUUGCACAUAGGGCAGGUAGCAUUGAUAUGUAACCAUUUGUCUAUGCAAGUGCAGUGAAAAUGAUGCUGGCAAGGAAGUUGGCGUAGUUCUGCUCCAUUCUCGUACACAGAAAGGCAGAUGCAGCAUUCCUGCAAUUUACCAAACACAUUCACAUCAACGCAGCCAUGGCCGUCUAGUCAUAUACUUUUUCACAUCGAUGAUUUGCUAAAUCAAACAUCAAAUGAUCAGUUGCGCGCAUAUUAGACAUAACUGAAAACAACUAUUAAGUAUAAUGGCACGAGAACUUACAGCAUCAGCCUGGGAAAUAGGAUGAUCGUUUUGUGCAUUGGUGUCACAUUCGGUCAUGAAUCCUUCAGAAACUUGGACCUCACCAUUGACUUUCUCCGUGUUACUUACCCUUCUGAAUUUGAACUUUGGCAAUCUAUCAAUCUCCUCAUCUGUUGCCCCAUCCUGUUUCAUGCACAAGUCGUAUGAAGUUGAGUCAUAUAAGCGUAUAUGAUUGAAGUGUAAUCAAGAAUCCAAAACUUCUUUCAUUGUUUUUGCCCUUCAUUAAUAUAGAGUUUACUACCUCAUGCAAAAUUAAUAGGUUCUACAGAAAAAGGAAAGGAUUGAUUCUUCAAUCCAGAACGUCACAUGGCAUUUGGAUGGCCCAUAUAAAACUCAAACUUCGGCAUAAAAUAGGAAGCAUGAGAUCUAAUGCUUCAACAUUAAAAAGGGAGUUCACAUCUGGUUCACGAUGAAAAUCAAGGAGAACUGAAUUCACUAACAGUUGAGCAUUCAUUAUAAAUAUCAAAUGGGAUUAAAGGAGUCAGCAGCCUUCACAUGUAUCAGAGCAUCUCCAAGGGGGAGAUGUAAUUUGGGAUGUAAUUACAUCUAAAAUCUCCGGCAGACGAUAGAGAAUCUCACUCCAGUUAGUUGGAUGCACUUAUGAAAUAUAAAUUUGGGAAUUUAAUCUCAACGGUUUAAGGUUAAAGCAAGAAAGUAAUUACUGCACUUCAUCUUUCCACUCUCUUCACGUGUUUGACUCAUUCUCACACUUGUUUUGGGCCCGCCAGAGCACGAUGCAAAACAGAUACAAAUUUGCAGCUAUAUUCGUUUGUCGGCUAGUUGUUGGUUUUACAGCCCAAAUACAACUUCCACUGGAACAUGAGAUCUAAAUGUGCCUAUACAUCUCCAUUUAGUACUACAGAUGCUUCCUCACUCUGUCUAAUAAUACAAGAAACGACAAACAUACUAAACACAACAAUGACCGGUAAAGCUAUUAGCCCAUUAGCCUAUCGCCGCAUAGUCAAGUAUCAUCUGUUUCCAUUCGCAUAUUUCCAUAUUUGUGCAUAAUGUGCAUGCCACGUGCAUCAAAGAGAUCUAAAUUUGCUUAUCAUUACUGAAUAUGCUAUAUCAUUUUUUUUUCUAUAUGUAGAGAUAUAUGAUCA
rnacentral:lncRNA from 1 species